GCCCCCAGCCCAGGGACCCAUGCCAGAGGUCAGAGGACAGCUGUUUCCCUUAAAACCUCUGAAGAGCAAUGAGAGCGCAGAGAGCCAGCUCCUAGCCUGCUAACAUCAGACAGCAUGAGUGGAGCAUGGAGAAAAACUAUUGUUUGAAGAAAGCAAGAAUCAGACAUGUUUAUCUUUCUUAAUUCAGGGGACUCUUUUUAAAAUUUUCCAUGAUUCAUCUGUAAGACCUGGUUUCUUUUCAUCCUUAUUUGGUUCCUUGGGAAAGAAUUUGGUAUAUCUUAUUGAAUAAACACUUCCUGCCAAGCA